GACAAUGGGCGCAAGCCGAUCUAGCCAUGCCGCGUGAGUGAUGAAGGCCCUAGGGUCGUAAAGCUCUUUCGCCAGAGAUGAUAAUGACAGUAUCUGGUAAAGAAACCCCGGCUAACUCCGUGCCAGCAGCCGCGGUAAUACGGAGGGGGUUAGCGUUGUUCGGAAUUACUGGGCGUAAAGCGYACGUAGGCGGAUUAGUCAGUCAGAGGUGAAAUCCCAGGGCUCAACCCUGGAACUGCCUUUGAUACUGCUAGUCUUGAGUUCGAGAGAGGUGAGUGGAAUUCCAAGUGUAGAGGUGAAAUUCGUAGAUAUUUUGAGGAACACCAGUGGCGAAGGCGGCUCACUGGCUCGAUACUGACGCUGAGGUACGAAAGUGUGGGGAGCAAACAGGAUUAGAUACCCUGGUAGUCCACACCGUAAACGAUGAAUGCCAGUCGUCGGGCAGUAUACUGUUCGGUGACACACCUAACGGAUUAAGCAUUCCGCCUGGGGAGUACGGUCGCAAGAUUA
rnacentral:rRNA from 1 species